rnacentral:lncRNA from 1 species
ACUUCGAAAACACAAGAAUCAAGUAAUCAAACUACUGUCUCACUGAUUGUACUCCUGAUUAAAAGAAACAAGUUUGAAGGAUAUUAUCUUGCAAUCUAUGGCUAGGGUUCAUCACCCAUAUUAAGGGGUUUUUUAUGGGGAAUCGAUUUCAGGCAUUAUGAGUGGAGGUAUGUUACAUAUUUGAUGAUGUCACAGGUAUCUAACUUGUUUAGUGUGCAGAAGCAAAUAUCAGAGUUUAACUCAAAUCAGAGUUUAACAACUGCCAGCUGGAUCAGAGUUUAUCGAUGAUCAGAGUUUGCAGGCGGCUGAUUUUCAGGAGCAGAUCUGGCUAAAUAAGGAAGAUAAAGAUCAAGGGAGAUUGUGCAAAUCAGGACAGCAGAAAAUUAGAUUAUUUUGGGAAGCAGAUAAUUAUAAAUCAAUCAGUAGAUAUCAUGUAACUGUGUAUAUAAACACAGAUUAGGGUUUACUCUAUAAGAGUUAUAACAUCGAGAAUAUUAUUCUUGUACCCCAGCAGCUCUUAGUGAUAAGAUAUAAAUCACUAAGAGAGUUUUUGUAACCUACUGAGUUUUGUGAAUAAGAGUUUACUUUGUUAAUUC